CACUAAGCGGAGGAAAAGAAACUAACCAGGAUUCCCCUAGUAACGGCGAGUGAAGAGGGAAUAGCCCAGCACCGAAGCCUGCGGUAGUUUUACCGUUAGGCAAUGUGGUGUUUGGGUCGGCUCGCGGGACUGCCGCUCCACUCGAAGUCCAGCACUGAGUAUGGUUCCCUGGAUUUGGCCCAGAGAGGGUGAAAGGCCCGUACGAGUGGAGGUUCAGACAUGAGAGGCAGUUCACCAGGCCGACCUUCGAGUCGGGUUGUUUGGGAAUGCAGCCCAAAGUGGGUGGUAAACUCCAUCCAAGGCUAAAUACUGGCACGAGUCCGAUAGCGAACAAGUACCGUGAGGGAAAGUUGAAAAGUACUUUGAAGAGAGAGUAAACAGUACGUGAAACCGCAUAGAGGUAAACGGGUGGCGUCAAGCUGCAAGCCUGGAGGAUUCAGUUGGUCAGUGUGUGUGCGCGCCUGGCGCGUCCGUCUGGCAGGCAGUCCGCUGAGAAAAGGCGGGUCCGUCCCUCUGUUGGGGGAAGGGAUUUGCGUUCCGGGAGGUAGCCGGAGCAAGCUGUCUUGCUUGACUGGGUGGGCUGGCCAAUGCACUUCCUCUGUUUGGUGAGCACCACGACUGGUGGUACUGCCGGUCUGCUGUAGCCAAGUCAGGUGCGGUUGGCGUUUCGGCGUUAGUCGUGCUUUGAUCACAGGCGAACUCAGUGAACGGCGUGUGUGGGCCUCGGUUUGCACACGUGUUAUCGGGCACUGGUCGUCAACGGGUCGGCCUGUCAGUUUGCUUGAGUGUGUGUGCAGUCGCUGACAGGUGUCCUGGUGGGCUAUGGUGGUAAGAAUAACUGUGCAGGGCACCAGAGUUGUCGGCCUCGUGUUACCGGCUCACCGCACACUGCACGUGUGUGGGGUUGUUGUUGCAGCCUGCCGAUGGCUGGGUCUGAUUGUCGUGUUGCCUACGCAAAGUGGGCCCGAUGGUGGCUCGGUAUCGGGUGGUGCUGUUGGCAGUGACCUGUGUGAGCCGGCGUGGGCCGGAUAGUCUGUGGUGUUGUGGUAGACGAGCUACCCGACCCGUCUUGAAACACGGACCAAGGAGUUUAUCAUGCACGCGAGUCAGUGGGUCAAUCGAAACCCAAUGGCGCAGUGAAAGUGAAGGCCCGACUUGUUCUCGGGUUGUGGUGAGAUGCUGCUGUUUCUCGCAUCGUGCAUCUUGGUGCAGUUUGUCAGUACCAGGCAGAAGAGCAGUGGCCGCAUCACCGGCCCGUCCCAUGAUGUGGUCGUUGGCGAGGAGUAGUGGGCUUGCCUUCUCUCUGAGCCGGCGCGUCAUCGGGGCGGAGCAAGAGCGUGCACGAUAAGACCCGAAAGAUGGUGAACUAUGCUUGCGUAGGUUGAAGCCAGAGGAAACUCUGGUGGAGGACCGCAGCGAUUCUGACGUGCAAAUCGAUCGUCAAACGUGAGUAUAGGGGCGAAAGACUAAUCGAACCAUCUAGUAGCUGGUUCCCUC
rnacentral:rRNA from 1 species